UACGUAGGGUGCGAGCGUUGUCCGGAAUUACUGGGCGUAAAGAGCUCGUAGGUGGUUUGUCGCGUUGUCCGUGAAAACUCACAACUCAAUUGUGGGCGUGCGGGCGAUACGGGCAGACUGGAGUACUGCAGGGGAGACUGGAAUUCCUGGUGGUAGCGGUGGAAUGCGCAGAGUAUCAGGAGGAACACCGAUGGCGAAGGCAGGUCACUGGGCCGCAACUGACGCUGACGGAGCGAAAGCAUGGGGAGCGAACAGGAUUAGAUACCCGGAG
rnacentral:rRNA from 1 species